rnacentral:lncRNA from 10 species
AGAAAUGGUGGUGGUGGUGGGGGAGGGAGGUGGUGAAGGAGCAAAGAAAACAAAAUGAACAACCUCUUCACCCCAACACAUCUUCCAGCCACCUCUGGGUUACAUUUACCAGGAAAACUUGGAUGCCAGUCGGCCCUCCCUUACCUCUCUGUAUCAGAAUGAGUCCCAGAUCCACACUGAGAUUCCCAGGGUAGACACAAGAUCAGGGGCAUGGUGGAAUCCACCUCUCAAAGGCCAGAGUUUGAAAUCUGUUUCCUUACAUGGUGUGUAUCUUUUCUCUCCUUUCAUCUUCCCAUCAGGUGCACAUGGGGGUUUUCAACUGGACUACCUCAUCAGUUGGCACUGAUUAUGUUUUAUUCUCCAAAGAAAAAACGUUCUAGGGUGAUAGAGCGUUCCAGGGUGAUAAAGCAGACACUCUUAUGUUUAUGGCUGAGCAGAGGCAUCAAAAAACCACAUUUGGAGUAUUGCAGCACUGACCCAGGAUACAGUCAAGUGUUUUCACUGGUGUGGUUAAGUACAUACUGGAUGAACUGUUGAAUCUGUUCCCAACCACAUGGUGGCUAUACCAUGCCAUUUUAUAACUCUUAUCUGAUAAUGAGAUUACUAUGGCUCCCAUAUGGUUGCAUCGAAAUAUAUUAAUCCAUUCAAAGGUCUUAUUUUUUUGGCCUAUGUAAGCCCCUCCUCAUCUUUCCCUAGCAGGCAGGGACUAUGUCUUAUUUUUUUAUUUCUUAUACCACCUAACAUAGUAUAUUACACUAAAUAAGCACUCAAUAAAUUUAAUUUUUUUGUCUUUUGGUUUAACUUCUACUGGGAUAUAUAUGUAUUUAUUUGAAAGGCAGCCUCUUUCAGCGUGGGCAAACUAUAAGCAAGAUCGCCACCUAGUGGGCAUAAGUAGAGUAUCAUCUAAUUGGAGAAAAGUAGACAUUUUUAACUGGAUGAUUAAUUGUUGAAGUUAAAUUCGGAAGACUAUUAAAUGUCUACUGUGUACCAAGCUAUGUCCUAGGGGAUAUGGAGAAAUCCAAAGUAGUUGGGGUCUCUGUCUUUUUGGCUGCUAACAAAAGCUGUAAGUAACUACCAUUGUAAACUUCCUGGGGAGUCUGUCUUGUCCAUUGUUUUAUGGCUGCCUGGGCACAAUGCCUGGCACUUAGUGUGUGUUCAACAACAAUUUGCUGAAUACAUCGUUAGAAUGCUAAUGAGAUGCAAGUAGCAUGUAUCAAGUUUUUUUAAAUUAAAUACCUUACUACUAAAUAAUGCAAAACAAUUUUGUCCAACGGUUGUGAGUUAUUGUUCAGCUGAUUAAAGAAUACAAAAUAAGAACUUCCACUCAUUUGAAAAAGAAAAAAUAUUGGUGAGGGUUUUGCAUGAUAGAUGUGAGGGGAAGCACAUGAUUUUAAUUCUGGGAGGGCUGGCUUCAAAUCCAGAGACUAGAAAUCCUGGAAUCUCCUAACCAUAUUGCUGGUACUGAUGAAAAAAACCCAGACUUAAAUAAAUUGACUAAGAUCGUACACCUCAUAAGAUG